rnacentral:rRNA from 1 species
AGAGUUUGAUCAUGGCUCAGAUUGAACGCUGGCGGCAGGCCUAACACAUGCAAGUCGAGCGGUAACAGAAAGUAGCUUGCUACUUUGCUGACGAGCGACGGACGGGUGAGUAAUGCUUGGGAACAUCCCUUGAGGUGGGGGACAACAGNUGGAAACGACUGCUAAUACCGCAUAAUGUCUACGGACCAAAGGGGGCUUCGGCUCUCGCCUUUAGAUUGGCCCAAGUGGGAUUAGCUAGUUGGUGAGGUAAUGGCUCACCAAGGCAACGAUCCCUAGCUGGUUUGAGAGGAUGAUCAGCCACACUGGAACUGAGACACGGUCCAGACUCCUACGGGAGGCAGCAGUGGGGAAUAUUGCACAAUGGGCGAAAGCCUGAUGCAGCCAUGCCGCGUGUGUGAAGAAGGCCUUCGGGUUGUAAAGCACUUUCAGUCAGGAGGAAAGGGUGUGAGUUAAUACCUCACAUCUGUGACGUUACUGACAGAAGAAGCACCGGCUAACUCCGUGCCAGCAGCCGCGGUAAUACGGAGGGUGCGAGCGUUAAUCGGAAUUACUGGGCGUAAAGCGUACGCAGGCGGUUUGUUAAGCGAGAUGUGAAAGCCCCGGGCUCAACCUGGGAACUGCAUUUCGAACUGGCAAACUAGAGUGUGAUAGAGGGUGGUAGAAUUUCAGGUGUAGCGGUGAAAUGCGUAGAGAUCUGAAGGAAUACCGAUGGCGAAGGCAGCCACCUGGGUCAACACUGACGCUCAUGUACGAAAGCGUGGGGAAGCAAACGGGAUUAGAUACCCCGGUAGUCCACGCCGUAAACGAUGUCUACUAGAAGCUCGGAACCUCGGGUCUGUUUUUCAAAGCUAACGCAUUAAGUAGACCGCCUGGGGAGUACGGCCGCAAGGUUAAAACUCAAAUGAAUUGACGGGGGCCCGCACAAGCGGUGGAGCAUGUGGUUUAAUUCGAUGCACCGCGAAGAACCUUACCUACACUUGACAUC